UCACAGAGCAACUGCACGACACGAGUAAGAGGAAGCAAGCUGAUAAUCCUUUAUUCAUAGUUACAAGUACCAUUCUGUGUCACGGUUGCAGUACAUUCUGGUCCCUAGAAGAGACAACAAUCGUUUCGUGUUUUGCAUCGGAGAAAGAUUCUGCUUGUAUCAAACUUCAGUCUCUGAAAAGACAAGUUUUGUUCAUCAUUCCAGUCAGGAAGCAGUUUGCUGUUUGAUGAUAAACACACCAGCCUUACUGGGCAUUUUUCCCCUAUUCCUUCUGCAACUGAUUGAAGAGAACUGCAUUACACGGUGAAAGCCAGUACAUUCAAAUACACAGAACAGCCGUCGAUCCUGUACAAUAAUGAGGGCGCAGAUGAACUACCUUGUGGAAUGGUCGUCUGAGAGAUUGCCAGAGACGUUAACAAGCAACGGGAGCGAAGGAGAUCAAAGAAGAUGCCGCUCAUUUUAAAGAAGACGACUGCUUUCUUUGCCUUUGAUAAGAAAAAUACAUAUCAUGAGUGUCCACCGAAGCUGAGUUUGUGAUCAAUGUAACUAUGGAUGUAGGAUCCAUAGUUUGAUCGUAAAUCUUUUUUCAUAGGUGUGACGGCACUAUCACCCCAACCAGUAAGCUGGAAAUAUUUUUUUAUGUUAGCAUUGCUUCGAUGUACCCACAGUAUCAAUUGGCAUACUCUACAUAAAACUUUGGAAGCAUCGGCCAAGAUGUCCAAAACGUAACUGAUCAAGCCAGGACCAGUAAUAAAAGAUUAGUCUUUGUUAUCUCAGACAAGUUUGACGGCAAAAAAAUACCCAUAAGGUAUAGCAAGGAACGGAGUAGAGCGAAGAAUAAAGUGGCGGCACCCUGUCUGUACAAUCGUUGGCGAAAAGGCAAUAUCCUUGAUACUGGCGGAGCCAGCGCUUAAAUCAUGUAAGAACAGAAGAGAAUUUCUCUAGUCAUGGAGAAAGGAUCGUGCCGCCUUUUUUGUCUAUAGUCGCAAAGCUUUCUUGAUAAAAACUUAAGCAUGCGACGUCUGGUCGCCACUUAAUUGUUAAAUCUAUUGCGAAUCACAAGAUGUAGGCAGUGACGAACUUUCACUUUGGCCUUUGGCUCAUCCCUCGUCAACGAUCCUCAGGUCAUGGUCCAGUUGUAUCCAGGCUGACCAUGGAGAUGUCCUUUCGCCAUGGGCUGACUGAAAGGCCAUAAUUGAACACGACUUACAGAUGGCUUUAAAUACAGAGAAAGAAAACCUUGCGCAAUGGCUUUGAGAUGUGAAGAUUUGCUGGAGUGUAGACAGAUGAUGAGCCGUUCUGUUCAGUUACUGUCAAUGUCUGACCCCCCCCCCAAAAAAAGGAGGAUCAUUUUUCCCUCCUUCCGAAUAUCAACUGAA